rnacentral:lncRNA from 1 species
CUCGUGCUGCGUAGCUUGUGGCCUCUUAGUGGUUGACAAUAAUAAACACCUGGGUCAGAUUAUUGAGCUAUCUUAGUAAUCCAGGAGUGGUUGGGCGCCAUAUCAGCUCACCCUAUCAGCUGGGGCUGCACUCUGAGCCGAAGGCUCCAAGGGGGCUGCAGGCUGUAUUUCAAGAUGGCGUGCUGAUGUGGCGAGUGGGUGCAGGCUGCCAGCGGGACCACUCCCUUCCUUCCUAGACGGACCUCCCCACAAUGCUGUGUGCGUGUCUUCGCAGCGCGGUGGCAGGCUUCCCUCUUGAGUGAGUCACCAACAGAGAGCACGAGCCAAGAGCCACGACACGGUGGAUGUCCCAGCCUUCGUGGUUUCUGUGGUCACUGCCUGUGUUCUGGUUUCCAGGAGACAGGCAGGGCUGCUGCGGGAGGGCUGCUCCGAAAACCCCCA